rnacentral:rRNA from 1 species
GACGUAGGGCGCAAGCGUUGUCCGGAUUUAUUGGGCGUAAAGAGCUCGUAGGCGGCCUGUCGCGUCGACCGUGAAAACCCGCAGCUCAACUGCGGGCUUGCGGUCGAUACGGGCAGGCUGGAGUUCGGUAGGGGAGACUGGAAUUCCUGGUGUAGCGGUGAAAUGCGCAGAUAUCAGGAGGAACACCGGUGGCGAAGGCGGGUCUCUGGGCCGAUACUGACGCUGAGGAGCGAAAGCGUGGGGAGCGAACAGG